GCGGCACGCUUAACACAUGCAAGUCGAACGCAGUAGCAAUACUGAGUGGCAGACGGGUGAGUAUAAUGUGGGAAUCUGCCUUUUGGUUCGGAAUAACUCGGGGAAACCUGAGCUAAUACCGGAUAAGCCCUUACGGGGAAAGAUUUAUCGCCAAAAGAUGAGCCCGCACUUGAUUAGCUUGUUGGUGAGGUAAAAGCUCACCAAGGCAACAAUCAAUAGCUGUUCUUAGAGGAAGACCAGCCACAUUGGGACUGAGACACGGCCCAGACUCCUACGGGAGGCAGCAGUGGGGAAUCUUGCACAAUGGGGGAAACCCUGAUGCAGCGAUGCCGCGUGAGUGAAGAAGGCCUUUGGGUUGUAAAACUCUUUCGUCGGGGAAGAAAAUGACUGUACCCGAAUAAGAAGGUCCGGC
rnacentral:rRNA from 1 species